rnacentral:rRNA from 1 species
CACAUCCUCCCAACAGCUAGCCUUUACACUAAUAAACAACAACCAAUAUUAAUAACCCCAAACAACCUGCUACUAAAAAUUAAAUCAUUCUUCCUCCCUAGUAUGGGCGACAAAAAAGGAAUUUAAAGAGCAAUAGAAAAAGUACCGCAAGGGAAAGCUGAAAAAGUAAAUGAAAAAACCCAUCAAAGAGUAAAAAAGCAGAGAUUCCCCCUCGUACCUUUUGCAUCAUGACUUAGCUAGUCCCCCUCGAGCAAAGUGCCCUUUAGUUCGAGCCCCCGAAACUAAGUGAGCUACUCCAAGACAGCCUUAUCUAGGGCGAACCCGUCUCUGUGGCAAAAGAGUGGGAAGAUCUUCGAGUAGAGGUGAUAGACCUACCGAACCUAGUUACAGCUGGUUGCCCACAAAAUGAAUAGAAGUUCAGCCUUUAGAAUUCUUGACUCAACCGUGGCUUUUGCCUUCAGUGACAUAAAGUAAGUCUAAAGAGUUAUUCAGGGGAGGAACAGCUCCCCUGAAAAAGAUACAACUUAAAUUAGAAGGUCAAGGAUCAUAAACCCCAAGGUCCCGCACCUAAGUAGGCCUAAAAGCAGCCACCCAUAAAGACAGCGUUAAAGCUCAAGUGCACCCUUCCCCUAUAAUUUUGAUAGCCCGCUCCUAUGCCCCUAAACACAAUAAUGGGCCUUUUCAUGCAAACAUGAAAGAGAUACUGCUAACAUGAGUAAUAAGGGGGGCCUGCCCCUCUCCCAGACAUCUGUGUAAAUCAAAACGAACCCCACUGACAAUUAACGCCCCAAACCAAAGAUGGAAUUGAGAUAAUUCAUAAUAAUCAAGAAAACCACUCAAAAACUUAACGUUAACCCAACACAGGUGUGUCCAAGGAAAGACUAAAAGAAAAAGAAGGAACUCGGCAAACACUGGCCUCGCCUGUUUACCAAAAACAUCGCCUCUUGCACAAUUUCAACCGUAUAAGAGGUCCCGCCUGCCCUGUGACUAACAGUUUAACGGCCGCGGUAUUCUGACCGUGCGAAGGUAGCGUAAUCACUUGUCUUUUAAAUGAAGACCUGUAUGAAUGGCAUAACGAGGGCCAAGCUGUCUCCUUUUUCCAGUCAAUGAAAUUGAUCUCCCCGUGCAGAAGCGAGGAUACUUUCAUAAGACGAGAAGACCCUAUGGAGCUUAAGACACAAGGCAGCCCAUGUAAAAACACUUAUAUCAACAAGAGAAACAAAAUGAAAACUGCCCUAAUGUCUUUGGUUGGGGCGACCGCGGGGUAACAAAAACCCCCCAUGUGGAAUAGAAACUUUUUUCCUAAAGCAAGAGCCACCGCUCAAACAAGCAGAACAUCUGACCAGCAAGAUCCGGUAAAACCGAUCAACGGACAAAGUUACCCUAGGGAUAACAGCGCAAUCCCCUUUUAGAGCCCAUAUCGACAAGGGGGUUUACGACCUCGAUGUUGGAUCAGGACCCCCUAAUGGUGCAGCUGCUAUUAAGGGUUC